ensembl:lncRNA LPP-AS2 LPP antisense RNA 2
GCCCAGCGCCCCACGCCCCGCGCCCCGGGCCGUGCAGCCAGCCCUUACCUUGCAGCGCCCGGCUGUCUCCCGAUCGCUAAAGCUACUUAUCCCGGGAAAGCUCGCGCGGGACCCGGGAACGAACCCACAGACAAAAAGUGAAACUUCGGCAGGGCUGGAGCGGCUGCUGGUUGGUGCCUUUCCCCCUCCUUCCUCCCCACCGUCCCCACCCCCUCCCCUUGGUCUCCCGUGCGGUGCCCUGAGCGCUGGAGGCUGACGUCAGGGGCCUGAAUUCCUGACUUUGCCUGCACGCAUUUGUCCAUGUAAGGUAUGGGAAGGCGUGUGCCCGCGAAGCCGCCGCGCAGAGCUCGCCUGGCGGGGGAGGGGAAACCCGCAGCCGGCAGUGGCUUUGCCAAAAGGUGGGCGCACUGAGGGCAUUGCAUUUCCUGGGAGGAAGAGGAGGAGACGCGGGAAUGCAGGGAGCUUGCAAAGGAGGAAGAGAAAGAGGGAGAUGUGGAGACUUUGCCCCUGCUAGAGGAAGAGGAAGGAGACGUAGGAGGAAGCGGCCGCGUCAGGGGGCUCCUGGAAAAUGGAAAAGCCUGCGUCUACUAUUAAGGCGUCAAAUUAGGGCACUGAGCUUGAGUGGAAGAGAUCCAGCCAUGAAAUCCCCUUCCAAGAUUUUCCUCGUGAGCCCCGCCCUGGAUUCCCAGCAAGACUCAAAACUUACAAGGUGUCAGAGCUGGCAAAGACCAACUUCCAACCCGUCCGCUUGGCACGUGAGGAAACUGAAGCUCUCGGAAGAGAAAUGACUUGUACAGGGUCGUCACUCAGCAGAUCGAGGAGCGGGCCCAGGCGCUCUGCCUCCCACUUGGGUUCCCGCCUCCAGGAAGGGCCCUGGCUCCCUUUUAGCCCUGAGCCUUGAAGCAGGUUAGAUGCCCGCGAGCUGUGCGGACCACCCAGUGAUUUCUACUGCUCUUGGCCCAGAGCCAGUUCCUGGAAGGUCCUGGUUGACAGCGAGCCCUGAAUAUCAAUGACAAUCAGUUGCUUCAGGGCAACUUCCUCUGUCCUGUGCUCAAAUAAAUGAAUCCCUGGAGUUUAACGUUUACUUCUGAGCCCCGCCCAGAAAGCUUGCUCUGUGCUUAUAGCUUCAAAAAAGUCUGCGAACGAGAUGAACUGGUUUGAAUACAGACAAGCCUGUCAUUGGAAGUUUUGAGUUGGAUUUUUCUUUCCCCUCUGACAUCUGUAAGGGUGAACGACGAUGAGAACCACCACUUAACUGUGUUAGGGGAUUAUGACGCGCAGCAGCCAUGGCCAGGAAAGCAUUCCAUACCCUGAGACUUCCUUUCCUUGCACUUCUCUCCUAUUAAUAUCUAAAGUAAUCCCUCACGUUAGCACAUAAUGAAAGCAGUCUCUCACCCGGCUAUUGCAUCUUCAGGUGAGUUAGAUAGGACAGAGCGUAGUCCCCCCUUUACACCUCAGACAAAAACUUAAGAAACGUUACUCGCCCAACACAAAACAACUGACUGACCAAGCACCUGUCUUCCCCUCCUCCCAUCCAGGUCUCCUGACUAAUCCCUUCAUCUUUCCAUACCUGGCCCUGACCUCUAGCAGGACCUAAUUCCAUUCAUAACUGUUGAGAGUACACCAUGAGCUACUGAUUCAUAAAAACUCCAAAAAGUGGUUCUUCUGAGGAUGGACUUUAGUGGGAUUCUUUUGACCAGGAAUUAAGGAAAUAAUGUAAAAACACAUGUUAUUGGAUUUAUUAAGCACCUUCCUUGUGCUUAAUAAGUGUUUGAAUUCAGACAUUUCAGGGGUAAGACUACUUAACCUCUGUGUUCCUCUCAACUAUCUAAUGUACACAUACAAAAAUAUGAACAUGGCUGGGCGCGGUGGCUUACACCUGUAAUUCCAGCACUUUGGGACGCCGAGGCGGGCAAAUCACCUGAGGUCAGGAGCUCGAGCCAGCCUGGCCAACAUGGCAAAACCCCAUCUCUACCAAAAAUACAAAAAACUAGCUGGGCGUGGCGGCGAGCGCCUGUAAUCCCAGGUAUUCCGGAAGCUGAGGCAGGAGAAUUGCCUGAACCCGGGAGGCAAAGGUUUUAGUGAGCCGAGAUUGCGCCACUGCACUCCAGCCUGGGGGACAGAGCAAGACUGUUGUCAAAAAAAAAAAAUAUAUAUAUAUACAAACACAUAUAUAUACACAUAUAUAUACAUAUAUACACAUAUAUAUACAUAUAUAUACACAUAUAUAUACAUAUAUAUAUACACACACACAUAUAUAUAUACACACAUACAUAUAUAUAUAUGAAGGCAGUAACAGAGAGAUAAGGUCGAGAAUAACCACCCAUUCCACAGACUAAUAAAGAAUUUAUCUCUUUGCAACUAACAUAGUUUGAAAUGGGAGAUACGGGCUCUUGGAGAGAGUUUUUUCUGGGGUUCUGAAAAGGUCAGAUCCUAUCAAAACACAAUCCACUCACUCAAACAUUUCAGCGUACUCACAUUCUGAGUACUACUGUUUAGUAUGAAAAGAAUUCCAGUGUUACAUGAAGUAAAAAUGGAUUAUCUCAAUCCUCAUGGAAUAUAACGGGACUUGACCAGCAUUUCCUUUUUUUUUUUCCUUCAGUAACUCACUUAUAAGGAAUAAUAGGGUCCUAAUGAGGAUUAAGAUUUAAUAAGGUGUAAUUAGAGUUGUUCAUUUCUUCCAUCAUAUACAUUAUAAGAGUACUGUGCCGGAUCCAGAAAUGCUACUAAUUAUGUUGAAACUGUUGUAUGGGUGUGUUGGGGAAGUCACUGUGUUUCUCCUCCUGAAAUGUUUAUGAAUUGCUCAGGUGAGCAUGGUGAGCAUGGUGUUAGCAUGAACAUCAUAUAAAGUUAACUACAAAAGA